rnacentral:sRNA from 1 species
AUUUGUUGAGGACAAAUAAAAUGUACAUGUACGUCAAUUCCGCCAGCAGUAACAAUUUUACCUUCUGCUGAUAUCACUUCAGUUCCAGGACCGAUAUAUAUAGUCACUCCUGGUUGUAUAUCUGGAUUCCCUGAUUUUCCGAUACCAACAAUACGACCAUUAUUUAUACCAAUAUCAGCUUUAAUAACACCCCAAUAAUCAAUAAUAAUAGCAUUAGUUAAAACUAAAUCAACACACUCUUUAUUAUUCAUCUGACCUUGACCCAUACCAU